UGAGGAAUAUUGGUCAAUGGACGGAAGUCUGAACCAGCCAUGCCGCGUGAAGGAUGAAGGCGUUCUGCGUUGUAAACUUCUUUUAUCUGGGAAGAAACCUCCGAUUUCUAUUGGAGCCGACGGUACCAGAGGAAUAAGCACCGGCUAACUCCGUGCCAGCAGCCGCGGUAAUACGGAGGGUGCAAGCGUUAUCCGGAUUUACUGGGUUUAAAGGGUGUGUAGGCGGACCAUUAAGUCAGCGGUGAAAUCUCCGGGCUCAACCCGGAAACUGCCAUUGAUACUAUUGGUCUUGAAUGUUGUGGAGGUGGGCGGAACGGGUCAUGUAGCGGUGAAAUGCAUAGAUAUGACCCGGAACACCGAUUGCGAAGGCAGCCCGCUACGCAACGAUUGACGCUGAGGC
rnacentral:rRNA from 1 species